CACACCUGUCUGCCAUCAGCUAUCAGUGCACCUGGGCUUCAUCUUCUUGUCUCGUAAACACUACAAGAAUCCAAUGCUAACAACCAUUCUCAGCCUGAUCGUCAUCAUCAUUAGGAUCACCGGUCAGCAGAUCUCCACUCCAGCCAGCCAGGCCUGCUGGCCAGCUCACUACCUUGGGGGCCCUCUACCAAGCCUCCACUUAGAAAUCUUCCCCUCACUUCAGCCAGCCUCCAUCUCACUUUGUCUGUCUGUUCUUAUAUUAAAAUAUUUUAUUACUUA